rnacentral:lncRNA from 1 species
AUAUAUUGCAUAUAAAAUCUAAAAUAAUUUGAAGACAAAAUCAGCAUCAUGUGUGUGAGCAGUAGAUCACAUCUAUUUCUAAUCAGAGUUCAGAACUUCAUACCUAAUCAUGGAUUGAUGAUUUUUGCUACUGAGAGAUAUGGUGGAUAGGAUCCUUACUGAUUGUUCAUAUCCAUACAUGCAUCCGGCCUCUACGAAAAAUCCACUCAAAGUCCCAAUC